UACUGAUGGCUGAAAAAUAACAUGUUCUU
rnacentral:sRNA from 1 species